UACGAAGGGGGCUAGCGUUGCUCGGAAUCACUGGGCGUAAAGGGUGCGUAGGCGGGUCUUUAAGUCAGGGGUGAAAUCCUGGAGCUCAACUCCAGAACUGCCUUUGAUACUGAAGAUCUUGAGUUCGGGAGAGGUGAGUGGAACUGCGAGUGUAGAGGUGAAAUUCGUAGAUAUUCGCAAGAACACCAGUGGCGAAGGCGGCUCACUGGCCCGAUACUGACACUGAGGUACGAAAGCGUGGGGAGCAAACAGG
rnacentral:rRNA from 1 species